CUAGUAUCAAGCAAAUGACUGGAUUCCAUAUGACAGAAAAUGUCUCUAGAUAUGGAGACGACAAAAAACCAAGAGGCCAAGUCACUGAAUGAACCAGCAUGUGCACGUGGCAUAUUGUUUGUGAGAUGAUGCUGGACCAGGGCGGGGGACAAGGACUUGAAUGGAUGAAGGAUGACCCAGAGGUCUGGAGUGAAGUAAGAAUCUCUAUUCAGAGGACAGGGGAAGGAGAAAUCCAAGGCAUGACAGCCUUUGUGCCUAGGAGUCCACAAAUAAUGACCCACUUGAAAUCACUUCAGUUCCAGUCUAACACCUGGGGGAUCCCGUUAACCUUCAUUCAGCAUCUGCUUCUGUUGUUGGCCUGGAGUGGUACCUGAGAUUCUGCAUUUUUAACAAGUUCCAGUGAUUCUGCUGCUGCUGGGACAUGGGCUGCACUGUGAGUGGAGGAUUUAUUGGUCUGGGAGGCUCCUUAAAAUCCCAAU
rnacentral:lncRNA from 1 species